rnacentral:rRNA from 1 species
GGAAUUUUGCGCAAUGGGGGAAACCCUGACGCAGCAACGCCGCGUGCGGGACGAAGGCCCUCGGGUCGUAAACCGCUUUCAGCAGGGAAGACCACGACGGUACCUGCAGAAGAAGCCCCGGCUAACUACGUGCCAGCAGCCGCGGUAAUACGUAGGGGGCGAGCGUUAUCCGGAUUCAUUGGGCGUAAAGCGCGCGUAGGCGGCCGCCUAAGCGGGACCUCUAAUCUUGGGGCUCAACCUCAAGCCGGGUCCCGAACUGGCAGCCUCGAGUGCGGUAGGGGUAAGCGGAAUUCCCGGUGUAGCGGUGGAAUGCGCAGAUAUCGGGAAGAACACCGAUGGCGAAGGCAGCUUACUGGGCCGACACUGACGCUGAGGCGCGAAAGCUAGGGGAGCGAACAGA